rnacentral:rRNA from 1 species
GAUGAACGCUGGCGGCGUGCCUAAUACAUGCAAGUCGAGCGAACGGACGAGAAGCUUGCUUCUCUGAUGUUAGCGGCGGACGGGUGAGUAACACGUGGAUAACCUACCUAUAAGACUGGGAUAACUUCGGGAAACCGGAGCUAAUACCGGAUAAUAUUUUGAACCGCAUGGUUCAAAAGUGAAAGACGGUCUUGCUGGCACUUAUAGAUGGAUCCGCGCUGCAUUAGCUAGUUGGUAAGGUAACGGCUUACCAAGGCAACGAUGCAUAGCCGACCUGAGAGGGUGAUCGGCCACACUGGAACUGAGACACGGUCCAGACUCCUACGGGAGGCAGCAGUAGGGAAUCUUCCGCAAUGGGCGAAAGCCUGACGGAGCAACGCCGCGUGAGUGAUGAAGGUCUUCGGAUCGUAAUACUCUGUUAUUAGGGAAGAACAUAUGUGUAAGUAACUGUGCACAUCUUGACGGUACCUAAUCAGAAAGCCACGGCUAACUACGUG